rnacentral:rRNA from 1 species
AUUGAACGCUGGCGGCAUGCCUUACACAUGCAAGUCGAACGGCAGCACGGGGCAACCUGGUGGCGAGUGGCGAACGGGUGAGUAAUGCAUCGGAACGUACCUUUCAGUGGGGGAUAACGUAGCGAAAGUUACGCUAAUACCGCAUAUUCUGUGAGCAGGAAAGCAGGGGAUCGCAAGACCUUGCGCUGAUUGAGCGGCCGAUGUCAGAUUAGCUAGUUGGUGAGGUAAAGGCUCACCAAGGCGACGAUCUGUAGCGGGUCUGAGAGGAUGAUCCGCCACACUGGAGCGGAGACACGGUCCAGACUCCUACGGGAGGCAGCAGUGGGGAAUUUUGGACAAGGGGGGCAACCCCGAUCCAGCCAUGCCGCGUGAGUGAAGAAGGCCUUCGGGUUGUAAAGCUCUUUCGGCCGGGAAGAAAUCGCACGGGCUAAUACCCUGUGUGGAUGACGGUACCGGAAUAAGAAGCACCGGCUAACUACGUGCCAGCCGCCGCCGUAAGAC